UAUAUAUUAAUCAAAGUAAAACACUCUCUCAGUUAAGUGAUGGGUGUUUGGGUUGUCACUUCCACUUUCAGCAAGUUCCCAGAAGUCAAUCGAGGAAGUGAUCUGGAAGGGACAGAAAGGUCAGGUAGAUAUUAAGUCCUUGAGGAAGUGCUCCAGAAAAAUACAUUGGCAGAAAGCCAAUAGUCGCCUAAUGCUAAGUACAUCAAAGUGUCUAUAUCAUUCGCCUCACUUUAUCUUACCCGGUAGGCAUUUUAUCAUCUCAUAUCAUCGCAAGAAGGGAUUUCCUGAGGGUCCACUGUGCCCAAGACAUUGAGAUGGACACAGAGAGACCCACACUUGGUGGACGCUAAAACUGGAAGGCACUUUGCACUAUCCCAGGCACCAUGAGGAAUGCAAUAUUAUUCAGACAGAGCCCUGACCUCAAAAAGCUAAAAAUCCAAACGAGGAAAUAAGACAGAACCACAAGUAAGUACGAUGUAGAGUAGAUCUUGGUGACACCGUUAGAGGCUACUGUAUGUCAUGAGGUCCCAGAGGAGUGGAGUCACGUCUGCUUGGGAGAAAGAAAAGCAAGAAAAUAUAUGCUGACCUCACAGAGCUUCAGAGGAAGAACUUCUGGAGUGCAUGGAAAUUGUUCAAGUCUUCAAAUACAAGUUUUCCAUUUAUUAACAAACAUGAACUGCAAAGGAAAAUCAGCAGUUUCCUUAAAAUCACCCAAACAAACGAUCUCUAACCACGGGACACAUUUUCUUAACUGGCUGCUGACACUUUUAGAAUACUUCACCAAUCCUCAGGGCAAAUAUAUCUAA